AGAGUUUGAUCCUGGCUCAGAUUGAACGCUGGCGGCAUGCCUUACACAUGCAAGUCGAACGGUAACGCGGGGCAACCUGGCGACGAGUGGCGAACGGGUGAGUAAUACAUCGGAACGUGCCCAGUAGUGGGGGAUAGCCCGGCGAAAGCCGGAUUAAUACCGCAUACGACCUACGGGUGAAAGCAGGGGAUCGCAAGACCUUGCGCUAUUGGAGCGGCCGAUGUCAGAUUAGGUUGUUGGUGGGGUAAAAGCCCACCAAGCCGACGAUCUGUAGCUGGUCUGAGAGGACGACCAGCCACACUGGGACUGAGACACGGCCCAGACUCCUACGGGAGGCAGCAGUGGGGAAUUUUGGACAAUGGGCGCAAGCCUGAUCCAGCCAUGCCGCGUGCGGGAAGAAGGCCUUCGGGUUGUAAACCGCUUUUGUCAGGGAAGAAACGCUCUGGGCUAAUACCCCGGGGUAAUGACGGUACCUGAAGAAUAAGCACCGGCUAACUACGUGCCAGCAGCCGCGGUAAUACGUAGGGUGCAAGCGUUAAUCGGAAUUACUGGGCGUAAAGCGUGCGCAGGCGGUCUUGCAAGACAGAUGUGAAAUCCCCGGGCUUAACCUGGGAACUGCAUUUGUGACUGCAAGGCUGGAGUACGGCAGAGGGGGAUGGAAUUCCGCGUGUAGCAGUGAAAUGCGUAGAUAUGCGGAGGAACACCGAUGGCGAAGGCAAUCCCCUGGGCCUGUACUGACGCUCAUGCACGAAAGCGUGUGAGCAAACAGGAUUAGAUACCCUGGUAGUCCACGCCCUAAACGAUGUCAACUGGUUGUUGGGAAGGUUCCUUCUCAGUAACGUAGCUAACGCGUGAAGUUGACCGCCUGGGGAGUACGGCCGCAAGGUUGAAACUCAAAGGAAUUGACGGGGACCCGCACAAGCGGUGGAUGAUGUGGUUUAAUUCGACGCAACGCGAAAAACCUUACCUACCCUUGACAUGUCUGGAAUUUCGCAGAGAUGUGAAAGUGCUCGAAAGAGAACCAGAACACAGGUGCUGCAUGGCCGUCGUCAGCUCGUGUCGUGAGAUGUUGGGUUAAGUCCCGCAACGAGCGCAACCCUUGUCAUUAGUUGCUACGAAAGGGCACUCUAAUGAGACUGCCGGUGACAAACCGGAGGAAGGUGGGGAUGACGUCAGGUCAUCAUGGCCCUUAUGGGUAGGGCUACACACGUCAUACAAUGGCCGGUACAGAGGGCUGCCAACCCGCGAGGGGGAGCUAAUCCCAGAAAACCGGUCGUAGUCCGGAUCGCAGUCUGCAACUCGACUGCGUGAAGUCGGAAUCGCUAGUAAUCGCGGAUCAGCUUGCCGCGGUGAAUACGUUCCCGGGUCUUGUACACACCGCCCGUCACACCAUGGGAGCGGGUUCUGCCAGAAGUAGUUAGCCUAACCGCAAGGAGGGCGAUUACCACGGCAGGGUUCGUGACUGGGGUGAAGUCGGAACAAGGUA
rnacentral:rRNA from 1 species